rnacentral:rRNA from 1 species
AGUGAACGCUGGCGGCAGGCCUAACACAUGCAAGUCGAGCGGCAGCGCGGGGGCAACCCUGGCGGCGCGCGGCGGACGGGUGAGGAAUUCGUCGGAAUCUGCCUUUUUGUGGGGGAUAACGUAGGGAAACUUACGCUAAUACCGCAUACGUCCUACGGGAGAAAGUGGGGGACCGCAAGGCCUCACGCAGAAAGAUGAGCCGACGACCGAUUAGCUAGUUGGUGGGGUAAAGGCCCACCAAGGCGACGAUCGGUAGCUGGUCUGAGAGGAUGAUCAGCCACACUGGGACUGAGACACGGCCCAGACUCCUACGGGAGGCAGCAGUGGGGAAUAUUGGACAAUGGGCGCAAGCCUGAUCCAGCCAUGCCGCGUGUGUGAAGAAGGCCUUCGGGUUGUAAAGCACUUUUGUCCGGAAAGAAAUCCCUGGAGCUAAUACCUUCGGGGGAUGACGGUACCGGAAGAAUAAGCACCGGCUAACUUCGUG